rnacentral:rRNA from 1 species
GGGGGAACUCUAAUUUAAUUUCGCGCGGGGGAGUAUCCCUCGGAAGACAGAAACCCUCAAGGAAUUGAGCGGGGGCCCACAAGUGGGAGAGCAUGUGGUUUAAUUGGGAGCAAUGGGAACAACCUUUCCGGGUAUCGACCUCCUCUGACAAUUCAAGAGGUAGGAUGUCCCCUUUGGGGGCAGGGUGACAGGUGGUGCAUGGUUGUUGUUAGCUCCUUUUUUGAGAUGUUGGGUUUAUUCCCGCAAAGAGGGCAACCCUUGUUUUUAGUCGCCAGCAUUCAGGUGGGCAAUUUAAGGUGAACCUCGGUGACAAACCGGAGGAAGGUGGGGGUGACGUCAAAUUAUCAUGCCCCCUUUGACCUGGGGUACACACGUGCUACAAAGGACAGAACAAAGGGGAGCGAAACCGCGAGGGUAAGCCAAUCCCACAAAUUUGUUUUCAGUUUGGAUUGCAGUUUGCAAAUUGAAUGCGUGAAGCUGGAAUUGGUUGUAAUCGCGGAUCAGCAUGCCGCGGUGAAUAAGUUCCCGGGCCUUGUACACACCGCCCGUCACACCCACGAGAGUUUGUAACACCCGAAGUCGGUGAGGUAACCUUUUAGGAGCCCAGCCGCCCGAAGGGUGGGGACCAGAUGAAU